UGGCUCCAAACAUGGGGCUUGAGUAUGAGAGAGUCAGUGAAGAACACUGCAGUCUUUUUGUCUGGCCAGACUUAGAGGAAGACAUCUUGCGUGGGAACCUGCCGCCUUGACUGAGGAUCUGGGUAAGUUUGCGGUGAUUAUGGGACAGGCAUUGAAUAGCCAUGAAUUAUUUGUAGAAGGUUUUUAAAAGGCUCUGAAGGUUCAAGGAAUAAAGGUUAAAAAUACAUGAUUAGCUUACAUUCUUUGAUUUUGUUAAAGGAAUUUGCCCAU
rfam:Mus musculus chromosome 10, GRC primary reference assembly.